rnacentral:rRNA from 1 species
AGUGAACGCUGGCGGUAGGCCUAACACAUGCAAGUCGAACGGCAGCACAGGAGAGCUUGCUCUCUGGGUGGCGAGUGGCGGACGGGUGAGGAAUACAUCGGAAUCUACUCUGUCGUGGGGGAGAACGUAGGGAAACUUAGGCUAAUACCGCAUACGACCUACGGGUGAAAGCAGGGGACCUUCGGGCGUUGCGCGAUUGAAUGAGCCGAUGUCGGAGUAGCUAGUUGGCGGGGUAAAGGCCCACCAAGGCGACGAUCCGUAGCUGUUCUGAGAGGAUGAUCAGCCACACUGGAACUGAGACACGGUCCAGACUCCUACGGGAGGCAGCAGUGGGGAAUAUUGGACAAUGGGCGCAAGCCUGAUCCAGCCAUACCGCGUGGGUGAAGAUGGCCUUCGGGUUGUAAAGCCCUUUUGUUGGGAAAGAAAUCCAGCUGGCUAAUACCCGGUUGGGAUGACGGUACCCAAAGAAUAAGCACCGGCUAACUUCGUGCCAGCAGCCGCAGUAA